CUAAGGAUGGAGAACAUGGCUGGAUUCCUCUUCACGUCUCGGGCUUUGGCCCUCCUCAUGUUCCUCAACUGGCCUUCAGGUUCCUCCUCACAGCCCGUGUUGACACAACAGCCCUCAGCAUCUUUUUCCUCAGGCGAGAAUGUGCAUCUCACAUGUGUCAUGUCCUCUGGAUACAGAAUCAGUGACCACAGGGUUCACUGGUACCAGCAGACAUCCGGUGGUGUUCCUCGGUUUCUUUACCACUAUUAUAUCAGUAGUGACCAAGGUAGGGGCUCAGGGGUCCCAGAAAGAUUCAGCGUCUCUCCUGAUGCCUCCAACAAUCUCAGGAAACUGGUCAUCACUGGAGUUCAACCUGUAGAUGAGGGCGAUUACUACUGUGGCACAUGGGAUAGCAAUUCCAGUGUGUACCACGGUGGUAACUUUGAGGGGGAAAUGAGUCGAAAAGCUAUCUUCUUCUCUGUGGUGUAG